GACGAACGCUGGCGGCGUGCUUAACACAUGCAAGUCGAACGGAAAGGCCCUGCUUUUGUGGGGUGCUCGAGUGGCGAACGGGUGAGUAACACGUGAGUAACCUGUCCUUGACUUUGGGAUAACUUCAGGAAACUGGGGCUAAUACCGGAUAGGAGCUCCUGCUGCAUGGUGGGGGUUGGAAAGUUUCGGCGGUUGGGGAUGGACUCGCGGCUUAUCAGCUUGUUGGUGGGGUAGUGGCUUACCAGGGCUUUGACGGGUAGCCGGCCUGAGAGGGUGACCGGACACAUUGGGACUGAGAUACGGCCCAGACUCCUACGGGAGGCAGCAGUGGGGAAUAUUGCACAAUGGGCGGAAGCCUGAUGCAGCAACGCCGCGUGCGGGAUGACGGCCUUCGGGUUGUAAACCGCUUUCGCCUGUGACGAAGCGUGAGUGACGGUAAUGGGUAAAGAAGCACCGGCUAACUACGUG
rnacentral:rRNA from 1 species